CCAAGUGGUCGUGAUCUACUGGU
rnacentral:siRNA from 1 species